rnacentral:rRNA from 1 species
UACGAGGGGUGCAAGCGUUGCUCGGAAUCAUUGGGCGUAAAGGGUAGGUAGGUGGUCUCAUUUGUCUGGGGUGAAAGCCUUGAGCUUAACUCAAGAAGUGCCCCGGAAACGGUGAGACUAGAGUACUGGAGAGGGUCGUGGAAUUCCCGGUGUAGCAGUGAAAUGCGUAGAUAUCAAGAGGAACACCAGUGGCGAAGGCGAAUCUCUGGACAAUUCCUGACACUGAUGCUCGAAAGCUUGGGGAGCAAACGGG